ACAACCUGCCGUAUGCAGGGGGAUACCAGCUGGAAACAGCUGCUAAUACCGCAUAUGCGCACAGGGCCGCAUGGCCUGGUGCGGAAAGGAGCAAUCCGGCAUACGAUGGGUCCGCGUCCGAUUAGCUAGUUGGCGGGGCAGCGGCCCACCAAGGCGACGAUCGGUAGCCGGCCUGAGAGGGCGGACGGCCACAUUGGGACUGAGACACGGCCCAGACUCCUACGGAAGGCAGCAG
rnacentral:rRNA from 1 species